rnacentral:rRNA from 1 species
UACAGAGGGGGCUAGCGUUAUUCGGAAUUAUUGGGCGUAAAGGGCGCGUAGGCGGCCAUGCGUGUCUUCCGUGAAAUCCCUCGGCUUAACUGAGGACGUGCGGAAGAAACUGCAAGGCUCGAGUCCGGGAGAGGGGGGUGGAAUUCCCAGUGUAGCGGUGAAAUUCGUAGAUAUUCGGAAGAACACCAGUGGCGAAGGCGGCUCACUGGACCGGUAUUGACGCUGAGGUGCGAAAGCGUGGGGAGCAAACAGG